CCCAGACAGCCAGGAUGUUGGCUUAGAAGCAGCCAUCAUUUAAAGAAAGCGUAAUAGCUCACUGGUCGAGUCGGCCUGCGCGGAAGAUGUAACGGGGCUAAACCAUGCACCGAAGCUGCGGCAGCGACACUGAUGUGUUGUUGGGUAGGGGAGCGUUCUGUAAGCCUGCGAAGGUGUCCCGUGAGGGAUGCUGGAGGUAUCAGAAGUGCGAAUGCUGACAUAAGUAACGAUAAAGCGGGUGAAAAGCCCGCUCGCCGGAAGACCAAGGGUUCCUGUCCAACGUUAAUCGGGGCAGGGUGAGUCGACCCCUAAGGCGAGGCCGAAAGGCGUAGUCGAUGGGAAACGGGUUAAUAUUCCCGUACUUGGUGUUACUGCGAAGGGGGGACGGAGAAGGCUAUGUUGGCCGGGCGACGGUUGUCCCGGUUUAAGCGUGUAGGCUGGUUUUCCAGGCAAAUCCGGAAAAUCAAGGCUGAGGCGUGAUGACGAGGCACUACGGUGCUGAAGCAACAAAUGCCCUGCUUCCAGGAAAAGCCUCUAAGCAUCAGGUAACAUCAAAUCGUACCCCAAACCGACACAGGUGGUCAGGUAGAGAAUACCAAGGCGCUUGA
rnacentral:rRNA from 1 species